AGACCCUUUCAGUGCUCUCAUUCGGGGCUUCUUGAGCAGCUUCCUAAUGUGAAUGCCUCUCACUGAAGAUGCAGAACAGGAAUUUUCAGCACUCUGUGUAGAUGUGACCCACACGCAUGGGCUGGUGGGAGAACUGCAGCGGGGCUCUCGCUUGCAGGUACCUGCUCCUGAUGCAUUCAUCAUAUUGCACUCAGGAACUGCUGAGGUGUAGACCCUUGUAGUAGCCACCCAGGUGAGAUUUGCAUGCAAGGUCUGGUCCUGAGGAGCAGUGGAAGGGUCAAGUGUGGAUCGUGGCCAUUCUCCUGUCUGAUGCUCACUUCUCAGCUAAUUCAAAUCUAUUCAGAUCUCCCUCCAAAGCCCUUUGUUCAACUCAUUGAACUAUGCAAGAAAUAAUUCAAGGAAAUGCUUCAGACAAUGGAAUGUAAGCCUCAAGAAAGGUCCAAAGGUUUCUGCUCAUAAUGGGAUCCCAGCAUCUCUUAAAUUCGUGGAUUACCUGAUCCCUUUUUUUUCCUUCUUAAAUUGGAUAUUUAUAAGAAAGAAAAUCCACAGUGUUACAGCUUUCAGGGGUUCAGUGGGAAGAACCUCUUAUAGUUUAGGCAGGUAUAAUCCUGAUCUCUCUCACCAGAAUCCCCAGUUGGAAAAACAACUGGGAGAACAGGUCACUCUGUGUAAAAUAAUAACUCUGGGGGAUUCAUGGCUUUGCUCUUCCCAGAUUAUGAGCCCAGACACAAAUGUCUGACCAAAGCAAUGGAGCCUUUACAAAACCUUUCCAAAGGAAGGGCUGGAUGUUUAAGCUGUUUUCCUAUCCCAACUCAGAGAAUGACUUUUCUGUGAUCACAUAUCAACAAAUAAACUUUUAGCUAAGCUAUGGGAACAAAACCAAGUGGUUUUGGCCAGUAAUAACAUCACAGUGGAGUGAGGAUGAUGCAGAAAACUGAAUUUUCAGAUCCUAAUUUUUGUCUCAUAUUUCUAAUGCUCUACUUGAUGUUAAUAGAUGACAUUCUAUCUUAUUUUUGUUUUAACUUUAUUUCACAAAUAUAUAUAUAUAUAUAUAUAUAUAUAUAAAUGGAAACCACAACAUUUCUCAAUGUUGAAAUCCAUAUUCUCUGAUAACUUAAUUCCAUUUCUGGAUGCAACAGACCUUUCUGCACUAAAUGAAAACAGAGUGUAAGGUAUUUAAUAUCCUGUCAUUGAGACAGUGCAGGCUCCUACUAUACCGUGAGUAGUAUAUUAGUAUGUGAUUUUUUACUAUUAAAAUGGUCUGGUAGGCUAAUAUAAGAGUAAGAUGUGAGGAUAGACAUCGUUUUUGCGUCUAGGCUGCCCUAAAUAAUUUCACCCUGUCCAAAUCUUUGAACAAACUUUUUUAGAAGUAAUCUGUGCUACUAAUUCUUCAUAACAUUAAUUCUUUGAAAUAAUCGAUUUUCAAACACUGAAGCUAGAAGAGCAUGAUUUUUAAGACUGCAAGACAAUGCAGUGUCACAUGAAAAUGUAGUUUUUAAAAAGUAACACAAAUUUCACAGUGUUGUUUAAAGGAAGGGGAAAUUCAGAGCUCUGUUGGUUAUAACAGUCCACAUUCUCAAGGCUGCUGAAUUCGUGAUCUGCAGCUGUUCACAACUUUAUAUACGUUAUAGUCAAAUAGGAUAAAUACCCACUUGGGCUAGAGCAGCAUUGGUAAUCUGAUCAUUUGCGUUCGUAAUCUUAAUUCUGUACCCAGUAUUGCUGCAUUGUUGCCCAGUAGAGUACUGAGACUGGCGGGGAUGGAGGUAAUGUUCUUCCUGGCAGCCUGUAUGGUGCUGUCCUUUAGAUUUGCGACUUAAACUGUGUUGGUAACACACUGUUGAUACACAGUGCUUGGAGAGUUUCAAGGUCUUUUUUUCUCACUCUGCCCUCCAAGAGAGUGGGCUAGGGCUAGGCAAAUGGCUGGGAGAGGACCCAGGCAGAUCAACAGAGCGAAACUGACCAAGGAAAUUUUCCAUGCUUUAUAAUCCUAUGCUCAGCAAUUAAGCUGGAGGGGAGCUUUUCCAAAGCAACCAUCACUCAGACACUGGUUGGUCUGCAGUGGGAGGUGAUAAGGGAUUGCCUUUGCAUCACUUGUUAUUUUCCUCUCUUUUAGUUUAUUUAUUAAACUAUCUGCAUCAACCCACAAUAGUUUUUUCACUUUCACCCAUCUAAUUUUCCCCAUCCUUCUGUGGGGAGGAAUGAAUGUUAUAAGAUUGUGGACUAGGUAUCAUAUGUUUCUUUUUUCCUUUCUCCUCUGCUAGCUCUGUUGAGAAUGCAGUAGACUAAUACACACCAUUCCAGGCAAGAUCUCAUACGUGUUCUUUAAACCUAACCUUGAAAAGUGACAAGGCCAAAGAUGUUGAGUGUGCCAUGUACUAGGCUGAAUAAAGAUGGUUUACUGACCUGGUUUGCACAGAAAUCAGAUAGUUUGACCUGCAGCGUCUUCCUUGCUCACAGAAAUAUCUCCAUUUCAAUCCUAUCACUCAUCUACACAAAAUUGGAGACUAGGGCAGAACACAUGACUUGGCUUUUUAUUUUUUCCAGAUGUACAGCCUUUUGUGGGUCAUCCUAUCUGCUCCAAGUAGAUAAGAGAUUGCUCUUUCUGUACAACACAAAAGCAAACACUUCAAAAUUCAGUUUUCAUUUUCACUUACAUGCAGUGUGUAAUUCGGUGGUCUGGAAAUAGGCAUGAAAUCAUCUCUCAGUAGUGUUCGUUGGUAGCACAAGAAGAACAGAGUGUUAAACAUGGUAAGUCAUAGGAUAAAUUGCAGCCAACCUGCUGGAUUCAAAGAAGGUCCACAAUGACAUAGUUAACCACACAAUUAUUCAUCAAGGAACAAGAGAUCAAAGCCAUACUGACAGAAUGGAGAAUUUUAGCCUAAGAGUAACUAAGUGAUCAGGAGUGGGCAUCUGAAUAAGAGAUCCCGUUACAGUAUUCAGCCACAAAUGUGUUGGAUAACAGUAAGUAUGCUACAAGGUACAUCCACGUAAACGGCAAUGGUCAAGUUGGUACUGGAAGAAUUCAUCUAGUCCCAGUGUCAGCAUUUUUAAAAGGAUAUGGAAACACUGAGGUAAGUUUAGAAAACAGUCGCAAAAAAAGUAUUUGCUGGAGGAAGUGGGGGGGGAAAUGUCUUCUGGUGAGAGACUUGCAACCUCAUUUGGUUUAAUUUGUAAAGGGAAAAACUGAGAGCUGACUUGACUCUGUCAAAGUGCUUACAAAGAAAAAUUGUUGAUUCCUAGGGGACUCUUUGAUCUAGCUGAGAAGGACAUAAUAAGAACCAAUAGCAAAAUUCUGAAGGUUCUCAAAUUCAAAUGACAAAAAAUGAGUUCUGGGCCAUAAGAUGCUCACCAGUGGAAUCAAGCUGCUAAAUAUCUCUGCAGUUCUAUGGGUCAGGGUAGGAUUUCUGUAGUCAACACAUACACACAGCAUUAACACAAGGUGACAUACACAGGAGGUUAGAGUAGACCAACUCAGGUUUCUUUCUGGCUUUAUGAAACAAUGACUGCAUGUGGAUUGUAAAUAUAGCACAGAAAUCUCCCUAACCUGUAACUUUCUUCAUUGGUCCAUGUAGCACAGAACAGUAAAAUCAACACACAAUUUCAUGGAGGAAGAAAGAGCUAAAUGGAAUAAAGUGUGUUGGGAAGGGUGGCAACUUGUUUUCAUGUUGAGGUCUCAGAUGAAAUCUUAGGAUUUAAUCGUGCUACCUGAGGGUGCUUCUUUUUGCAACUGAUGGUUUGGACAGGUCUCUUUUUUUCACUUCUCUUUGAGUAUUGAGUAGUGGAUUCAUUUUUUUGUUGUCGUUGUAUUGUGUUUUAGACCUGUAGCUCUCCAUCUGUUUACAAGUAGCUUCUGGCCAUGACGUAGGUAGCACACAGUAUUCCUCUCAACAUAGGAGAGGAAGGCUGAUAUCCAGUCUCUGGUUAAUACAAGCAUGAGACAGAAGUGCAGCUUUGCGAAUGGUUUGUAUCUGUACAACCAGCCUCACUCUUCGGCUUGCUUGCUGUUUUUUUUUCUGAAGAGAAAGCAAGAAGAGUUGCUUUUUGAAUUGUUAUGUGCAACUUGUGUCACUCAGUUCUUAACUCUCUCACUCAGUGCUGUGACUGGACAAUGCAUGGUGAACCCAUGAGUGCUGAAUGCUGUGGAUCACUGUGGUUCUUUAUCCAAGUAACAAGUUACUUUCACACUGCUACUUUUUCAGCACUGGGUAGUUUUUUGUUUGUUUUUUUUUUUCUUUUUUUUUUUUUCAAUUAACAAUGAUUAAUACUUUCCUGUGGAUACUGUGCUUUGCCAUGAUGUAUGUUUCCUUCCACAAUAUUUUUCUGUUUGUAGAGUGAACCUAUGUUUGCCCAUGCUUUAUGAUUGUAUGAAAGCUUGAAAACUACAGAGGAGAAGUUAAAUAAAACUUUCAAAAAUGUAUGAUGAUUUAAUUUGGGCUUUAAAGCUGUGGAUUUAGGCCCCAUCUUGGGUCUUGAGCACACAGACACACACUCAGUUUGAAUAUUCCCUUUCUGAAGCAUCACUCAAAUAAAAACACAGUCACCUUUUUUUCCCCCC